UACGGGGGGAGCAAGCGUUGUUCGGAUUUACUGGGCGUAAAGGGCGCGUAGGCGGCCAGCACAAGUCAGUUGUGAAAUCUCCGAGCUUAACUCGGAAAGGUCAACUGAUACUGUGCGGCUAGAGUGCGGAAGGGGCAACUGGAAUUCUUGGUGUAGCGGUGAAAUGCGUAGAUAUCAAGAGGAACACCUGCGGCGAAGGCGGGUUGCUGGGCCGACACUGACGCUGAGUGCGCGAAAGCCAGGGGAGCAAACGGG
rnacentral:rRNA from 1 species